AACGAACGCUGGCGGCAGGCUUAACACAUGCAAGUCGAACGCAUCGCAAGAUGAGUGGCAGACGGGUGAGUAACGCGUGGGAACAUACCCUUUUCUACGGAAUAGCUCUGGGAAACUGGAAUUAAUACCGUAUACGCCCUACGGGGGAAAGAUUUAUCGGGGAAGGAUUGGCCCGCGUUGGAUUAGCUAGUUGGUGGGGUAAAGGCCUACCAAGGCGACGAUCCAUAGCUGGUCUGAGAGGAUGAUCAGCCACAUUGGGACUGAGACACGGCCCAAACUCCUACGGGAGGCAGCAGUGGGGAAUAUUGGGCAAUGGGCGCAAGCCUGAUCCAGCCAUGCCGCGUGAGUGAUGAAGGCCUAGGGUUGUAAAGCUCUUUCACCGAUGAAGAUAAUGACGGUAGUCGGAGAAGAAGCCCCGGCUAACUUCGUGCCAGCCGCCGCCGUAAUAC
rnacentral:rRNA from 1 species